UACGGAGGUCUCAAGCGUUGUUCGGAUUCAUUGGGCGUAAAGGGUGCGUAGGUGGCGCUGUAAGUCGGGUGUGAAAUUUCGGAGCUUAACUCCGAAACUGCAUUCGAUACUGCGGUGCUUGAGGACUGGAGAGGAGACUGGAAUUCAUGGUGUAGCAGUGAAAUGCGUAGAGAUCAUGAGGAAGACCAGUGGCGAAGGCGGGUCUCUGGACAGUUCCUGACACUGAGGCACGAAGGCCAGGGGAGCAAACGGGG
rnacentral:rRNA from 1 species